rnacentral:rRNA from 1 species
UGGGGAAUAUUGGACAAUGGGCGAAAGCCUGAUCCAGCAAUGCCGCGUGAGUGAAGAAGGCCUUCGGGUUGUAAAGCUCUUUUACCCGGGAUGAUAAUGACCGUACCGGGAGAAUAAGCCCCGGCUAACUCCGUGCCAGCAGCCGCGGUAAUACGGAGGGGGCUAGCGUUGUUCGGAAUCACUGGGCGUAAAGCGUGCGUAGGCGGCUAUUCAAGUCAGAGGUGAAAGCCUGGGGCUCAACCCCAGAACUGCCUUUGAAACUAGGUAGCUUGAACACGGGAGAGGUGAGUGGAAUUCCGAGUGUAGAGGUGAAAUUCGUAGAUAUUCGGAAGAACACCAGUGGCGAAGGCGGCUCACUGGACCGUUGUUGACGCUGAGGCACGAAAGCGUGGGGAGCAAACA